CUUGAUCGACCCCAGCCACAGCGGCUGGUCCGCGGGACGCUCCUGGCCGUACGUCGCGAGCAGCGCCUCCGCCUC
rnacentral:antisense_RNA from 1 species